rnacentral:lncRNA from 1 species
GAAUCAGCAUCUGGAUUAUUUCCCUGCUUCAAAAACUAGAUGAAGUGGGAGUGCGCAGCUAACUUUCUGGACAGAACAUGCAGACAAGACCUUCUCACUCUGAAAAGGGGGAAGCUGCGAGUUCUACAAGAGACCAAAUAAAAGGAAGCUCAUAGCAGCAGCCAGAAACAAGUCCCGAGAAACCAAAGCUAUGAUAACUGGAAACAUCUGUGUCAAUUUUUCAGCGACCACGAAAACAGACCAGGAGUUUGCAGGGAGCAUGAGCUGUGCUUGUUACCAGAUAUCCUGCAGUUGGCUGCCUGGCUUCAUAGCUUUUUUUGAACUUGGGAGACUUCAAGCCUCAGCUGAGGAAUCCUUGAUGCCCCCAUUGUCUUGUCUUGCUAAAAUGUACAAGAAACUUGCAGAGCUCAACCCUUCAGGCUUAAAAUUUUCCCAGGUGAGAAGAAAUUGCAUUGGUCUUGUCUGCAUUUCUUGUUGACCUUUUCACCUUACCCUUUAGGCCAUUUCCUUUAAUUUUGAAGGCUUAGGUUUUAUCACCUCAAAUAUAAUUAUAGAUCGCUAUUAGUUUCCAAGACAGUUGUGUAGUGCUAAGCAAAAUUUGCUACCCUAAAUGCCCAAGUCUGCAGUGACAUAUCGG